rnacentral:rRNA from 1 species
UACGUAGGGUGCGAGCGUUACUCGGAAUUACUGGGCGUAAAGCGUGCGCAGGCGGUUUUGUAAGCCAGAUGUGAAAUCCCCGGGCUUAACCUGGGAAUGGCAUUUGGGACUGCAAGGCUGGAGUGCGGCAGAGGAGACUGGAAUUCCUGGUGUAGCAGUGAAAUGCGUAGAGAUCAUGAGGAAGACCAGUGGCGAAGGCGGGUCUCUGGACAGUUCCUGACACUGAGACACGAAGGCCAGGGGAGCAAACGGG